CCUACGGGUGGCUGCAGUGAGGAAUAUUGGUCAAUGGACGAGAGUCUGAACCAGCCAAGUAGCGUGAAGGAUGACUGCCCUAUGGGUUGUAAACUUCUUUUAUAUGGGAAUAAAACGUUCCACGUGUGGGAUUUUGUAUGUACCAUAUGAAUAAGGAUCGGCUAACUCCGUGCCAGCAGCCGCGGUAAUACGGAGGAUCCGAGCGUUAUCCGGAUUUAUUGGGUUUAAAGGGAGCGUAGGUGGAUUGUUAAGUCAGUUGUGAAAGUUUGCGGCUCAACCGUAAAAUUGCAGUUGAAACUGGCAGUCUUGAGUACAGUAGAGGUGGGCGGAAUUCGUGGUGUAGCGGUGAAAUGCUUAGAUAUCACGAAGAACUCCGAUUGCGAAGGCAGUUCACUGGACUGCAACUGACACUGAGGCUCGAAAGUGUGGGUAUCAAACAGGAGUAGAUACCCUUGUAGUC
rnacentral:rRNA from 1 species